GUUUCCUGUGUCACUUUCUCUACCUUUCUAUGGAGAUAUUAUUAUUCGCAUUUUCCAGACUCUGGAAGAGUCUGAUUUGCCUAAAUGCCUACUGAAAAGAAGUGACAUGGAAACUCCACGUACCUGACUCCCACUCUGUGCACUUAACCGCCGCUCCUGAGCACCACGCAGGGACAAUGAGCACAGCGGUGGACGCGGGGACAGAAGCACAAACGCAGAAGUGCGGAUCCGAAACCAUCAAUAUUUGCUCUAGGCUUCUGAGGAACCACACCAAAGCAAAGCAAUCUGGGGACUGCUCUUUGUCAAAUGAUCAUUUUCUAGCAAGAAGGCCAGAAGAGGCAGGAUCCAUGAAGCCUUUGCAAUGUGGCCUUGCUGUGUCUGGCAUCAGAAGGUAAAGUCCACUUCUUUUUGCCUUGAAUUUGGGCUGCACUGGGACUUGUUUUGGCCAAUCAGCUGCAGGGAAAGCUGAGGCCUGAGGAGGUCCUGCAAUGCUCCUGCCCUCUCAGGCCCCUGAUGCUGUGGUGUAAACAGGCCCAGGCUGGCCUGCAGGGGGAAGAGAAACCUCACAAGGAAGAACCCCCAGCUGGCACAGCCCUGGCACCCUGGAAGUUUACAGCCAGAGAGGAGCCAGCCCCCAAGCAAAUGAGGAGGCACAGGCAGGAUCGGCCGAGCUGCCUACUGGAUGGACCCACUGAGUCCGGGAGUGCUGCUGGGCCAAUCUGCAGACUGUGAGCAACAGCAAAUGCAAUUGUUUCAAGCCACUGAGCUUUGAGAUAGUUAGUAAUGCAGUAACAGCCAAUUCCUACAAAUGUCAGUGUGAAAGAUGACAAAGCUGCAACUUAAAUGUUAAUAUCUGGGCAUAUUUUGUCAUCUUUCAUCCUGAAAUCAAAAGUUGGCAGCAAAAAAAAUGGGGCAGUCUUCCUCCUGCUUGGCUACUUGUGGUGGCUUAUUGGCCACGGUGACCUGCCUCACCCAUGCCACCUUGCCCCUGUUCUAAUACAUCCAUUUUGCCAAUGAUUUCCCCAAUUCCAUUGGUUCAGAAAGCUCUGGAUGGGGCUGUGCUGGCUACUUCCCAAUGUCGGGUUCCACUGUCUCCUUGCCUUGCCCUCUUCUCUCUGCAGAAAGUGGAGGUGGUCUAGGCUUAAGCAUCUGCCAAACCAACAAUGAAACACCAAGCACGCUGCUCUGAGGAAGGAAUCGUUUACGAAGAGCAGCAAUCAUCCCAGAAAUGAGUCUCAUCUGGAGAUGGGAAGCCACUUGCAGAGUUUCACAUGAUCUACCAAAGGUCUCAGUUGGAAUCCAUCCCACGGGCUGCUUCCACGCAAGUAGUCAAACAGGAGGAAGCUAUGAGGAUGGCGUUAGGGGACGGAAGAUCACCUGCCGGUGCACAGAGGUAACAGCAUGGAUGAGCCAAACUGUGCUUCCGAGAGGGCGGGAGCAGGGAGGGCAGAUGUCCAGUGUCUGGGAUUCCUGGUGGGCAUUCCUAUUGCCAAAAAUGCCAGACACCCAAAGGGGGAAGCUGCCAUGCUGGGGGGAGGGUGUUGGGACAGAGAUAUACAAUAUGGCCCUGAGUGUCCUUGGGUUGAGCAGAUGGUCUUAAGGUGGCAAGUUUACUUGGGGCCUGACUGCAUUGCUAAAUUCAGGGAAAAUCCAAUUACAUGGCCCUGCAAAGGGAUGAAGAGGUCAUGCUCCAUACUUACGGCCCCGGGAGACCUCCCUUUUUCCUCACCUCUGUGUGUGACAGUGCAUGCACUCCCCUCCCUGGGCCAAGUCAGUCCAGACCCUAGCUGCCUACAGUGACCUUCCCGUGGCCUGUCUACUGGGAGAGGCAAUGAAUGAGAAUCUGGGGACCAUGAGACAAGUGUGUGGAAGUGAGAACACGUGGUGUGGUCCAUUCUCAAUGACUUGCCCUGGGGUUAGGUGCAGACACCCUCCUUCCAUGGCAACUUUCUAGAUAGCUUACCUUCUGUGACAAGUUCACUCUAAAAGUUCCUAAAUCUGAAUUUCUAAUGUCUGCCAACAUCCCUAGAGUCAACUUAACACAGUCGUUUUUCUAGUAGAGAUAAAGAUUUGGGGUGUCACCCAAGCACUCCCAUCAACCUUUUCUAAGGUUGUUGACAGCUUUCUGCUGGGCUGCAUCUGUGGCUGUACUGGAAAUAAACUGAACUCUCUGGGCUCAGGUUUUAAUAGAGUCAAUUACAUUUGAAAUUAGGAGAGAAGGAAGUUAGACAUAUUGAGAAUCAACCAUGAGCCAGGCACUAUUCUAGGUCUUGAGAAUACAGAAUCUAAAUUGGAAUUUAAAACUGGAUUCAAAUUUACAUAAGAACGGGGCAAUGCAGAUAAUUGGUAUAGGGACUGCAGACAUUUGGGCAGACUUGAAGACUCCACUGGGGGUGGGACAGAUGUGGAGCUGGGUGGAGCAAUUCUUCAUAUGGAUGUCAUCUUUGCUGGUGGUGGCAUUGUUAAGUGCCAUUUUCCAGAGGAGCCCAGCGAAGACCUCUGCUGUGUUUUCAGACCACGAGGACAUUUGGUAAGCUGCUCUGAGAAGUUUCCUCUGCUGUGGAAGCAGAGGGGCUGUUGAUAGAUUUCUGGAGGAGGGACUGUUGUCUGUUCCCUUCGCUUGCCCUACUCAGAAAAAUGUUCAGAUUUCUUUUUAAGGCGUUGCAUGUAGGAUCAUUCUUGUUGCAAGCUAUGCAUAUGUAUCUGUUUAAUUUUAACUCGAGCUCUAUACCAAAAGGCAAGUUCAUUUACUCAGAGCCUAGACAGAAGGCUUUCCCAGUCUUGACACCUUGCUUAUUUGCUACUUAAAGUCUUUUGGAAGAAAAGAACAGAUUUUUGCAUUUUGUUCCCUUUCCUAUUUCAGGAAUUUUUUUUUUAAAUCCACACAACUGUCCUAAUUGGAAGGGAUUCUUGAUCUAUUUCACUGCAGUCUGUUUAUUUCUGGUAGGUGUCCAGAACACUUGGCCCCUACCCCUGCUGAGGCUGCUUUCCAACAACAUCCCAACUCUGUUCCAGAGCAGUUGGGAGCCCACCACAGCCCAGGAAUACCCACACAGCCCCGGGUGGCAUUCAGGGCUUAUGUCUCUUCUCCGGGGCCUGCAUUCUGCUUCUCUUUUAGGUCCAGCCUGGCUGCCCUGCCACAUCAGCAUCCCUCCAUCUUCUCCUUUCAGGCCACCCAGCUCAUCUUACUCUGUGCAGGGCUGCCCUACCCUGCUGUGUCCACACUCUGGAGCUGGGAGAUUGGGGUGUCCAAAGUCUACUCUGGAAGCAACUAGAGCCUCCUUAGUGUGGUGCAUGAGCCCAGGCCAGCUCUAACCUGCACAGAGCUGCUUUAAGUUAAGGACUUGCAUCAUUAGAAGGUACCUGUUAAAGGCGAGUAACUCAGGCUGGAACAGGGCCAAAGCUGGAGUCCUAAGGUACACAUGAAAAACAAUGCUUCUCCGUAAAUACCUUAUGAUACAGAUGGAAUCAGCAUCAAGAAUAGCCUCAGGGAUUGCAGUGGGGAGUGGAGAAGCCACCAAGACAACCUGCAGUCGUGGUGGGUGUUUAAAGAAAAACUUUAGACAAAAUAAAUGUAACAGAGUUUGUUGGAGCAAAGAACAAUUCACGAAUUGGGCAGCAUUCAGAACCAAAAGAGGUUCAGGGAGCUCCACUGCAGCAGUGUAGGCAGUGUGCUUUGAUAGGCUAACAUGGAGGGAAGACCAAUUAUGUUUGAUUGGUUAGAAGCCUCCAGUUAGAGAUUACUUAGGGGUUUCUGGUUGGUAAAAUCUCUAGAUUUGUUUUACUGUUUACAUCAGGUUUAUGUUUGCUUAUGUAGCAACUUAAAGCACUGAGCCACCAUGAUCUAAUGGCCUCUCAAUUAAAAUGACUUUUUAACAUGGGGAGGAGUGGUUGGAUCCUUAAUACGAGGUGGCAGAGAAGGACCCUAGAGAUGAUCUAGACCAGAGGUGGUAUACCAGUGGCCUCCAGGUAUGUUCUAUGUGGCCCACAGCAUGUGUAUGUGUGUGUGUGUGUGUGUGUAUAAAUGUGUGUGUUUAAACGUGUGUGUGUGCAUGCACACAUUUUCCUGUUAGUUGAUGCUGAAUGCUUUUAGGUGGCACAGAGUUCUCUACUUUGCUACAGCUCCCACCACUCCUGAGUUUCCUCACUGACCUCCUCUUCCCUACAGCAUAUGAUGCGUUACCUGUUGGAACAGUGGUGCAGGGCCCAGAGAGAGGGAAGAAAGUGGCAGGGGAGGAACAGACCUCCAUCAUGCCUUUACUGUAUCAAUACUUUACCAAGAGCCUUGGGAAGAAUGGCUGGGAAGCUCAGCAUCAAUUUCCCCAAAUUAUCAGACUUGGAAAUGAGCAUGGUGGUGAUGCUUCCUUUUCCUCAUGGAAAUCACACACCGCUUCAGGGAGUUUCAUUUGCAUUGAAAUUUAGAGACAGAUAUAAUCCAAAGAUUCCAAAACAUGUGUAAGCGCUGCCAAGAGCAGAAAGCUCACAGGAAGAGUAGGUGUGUCUGGGGAGGCAGCGGCAGCAGAGCUUAGAAAGCACAAGCCAAAGUUCCACUUCCUGAGGGCGAGACACACACCAGUCCUUUGUUUGCACGGGCUGGGAAGGAACUGGAGCUCCUAGGACUGGCACCAGAAGCCCUCAGGGACCCGGUUUGAUUCAGAGAAGCUGAGGAGGCAGAGCUUUAUAAAGGAUCACACCAUAUUUUCAGGAAGUUGUCUGUCUCCAUGGAAACAGAGAAGGGGAGGUCUUGUGGGGAUUAAGAAUUCUGGAAGAUUGUCCUCGUCCCACUCCAGUUAGAACACCUAAUAAAAAGUUGAUCUAGAGUAGUCCAACCUGUAUGCUGUAUGAAUAAUUUAAAAGAAGAUGGAAAAACCUUGAUACAAACAUACUAUAAGACACAAUGAGCAACAAAUCAUGUCAACAGAACAUGCACCAGAAAAAGGUGGUUUGAAAGGGAUGAAAAUAUGAUCAAACAUUCCACCAUGAAUUAGAAACAAAACAAAACACCUUCACAAGGCAAUUUGAUCUCUAAAGGAAAACCACAAAGCACCAAAGCAAGGAACUCAAAUAAAAGAUGACAAGGUGAUGAGAGAUGUUGAGACAGGAUUAGAAGAUUCAAGAAAGAAGCAGAAGGAAGUAAAGGGAGAAAAGUCAUUGCAGAAAGUACCAUCAGAGAAGCAGGGGAUGGGGAUGUGACAUGAGAGCUCCACGUAAUAAAGACAGGGAGCUGAGAUGAGAGGGAAAGUGAUAGCUCAGCAGGGAGGAAAAGGAAAGCAACACAUGCAACAUUGGAGUCCCCAAAGAAACCAAAACAACACAGUGCAACAUGUGUUUAAAAAUAUAAUCUCCUGAAAUAAAAAAACAUCUCCUGAAAUAAAACAAGACUCAAAUCUGCUUAUUGAAUGUUCACACCACUUACCAGGGAAACCGGAUUUAGGACGGUCUCCACCUGAGACACAGCCUGGUAAAGUUAUUGGACUUAAAGGAAACAUCCUUUGGGCAGUAAGGCACAAAAUAUUAGGUCACUUACAAACAGGAAAAAAGGUCAGGUUGAAUUCAGACUUCACUGAAACAACACUCAACUUUAGAAGAGGAUAGAGAAACAUUAAAAAGAUAUUUAAGAAAAGUACAAACUAAGACUUUUAUGUCAUCCAAGCUGUUUGACAAUUAUAAAGGACAUAGAAUAUUGUUUCGAACAUAUAAGAACUUAGAAAGUAUAUCGUUCUUGUGAAUCCUUCUUGAGGAAAUGACCAGAUUAUGAACUCUGGACACACUGAGAGUCAAGUAGAGACGCUUUAGCCAAAAGUCUGACUGAAGUAUUGAUUAUAUUUGGGCUCAGCUCGAAAACUAAAUGUAAUGUGUCUGUUAGCAUAAUAUAAUAGCAUGUAAAUCUUCCAUGUUCUGAAGAUGUAGAAAUAAUACAACUAACAAAUUGGAAUGGGAAAGGGGUGGAGAGGGUGGGAAGAACAGUAAUUGCUGCAUUGAUAAAGUCAGGGAGACAAAGGAAAUAAUUUAAAGCUAAAAAAUCAAAUAGUAGACACAUAAAUACAUUUGAGAGUCCAAAUUAAAAAUUAGCAAAGAUAAUAUUAUUGACUGAAGCCAGGAAGUGCAGGAGAGGUAGAAGAAAGGGAAGAAAAUACAUAUGAAUUUUAUUAUUACUCAGUACUAUUUAAAAAGCAGAUGGCCAGGUGUUCUAUAGGAUAAUGUAACUAUAAAGAUAAUCAUUAGAACAAUGUUCAAAUCCUCCUAAAUAUCAGAACUUAAUUCUCUUCUUAUCUCUCCAGGCCUUUUUUCCUUUCUUCUCCUCUCUUUCCUCAAUCUGUUCACCCCCUAAAAAGCAAACAGACCUUAUAUUGAAAGAUUUUAAAUAACUGUAUUCAGAAAACAAAAUAAUGUGACAGACCUACAAUCAACUCAUCUAUCAUAUCAAUAAAUAUAAAUGGGAUUAACUCAUCCAUUAAGAUCAAUGAUUUCCACAUGGUAUCAUAAAGCAAAAUCUAAUUCUAUGCGGUUUAAAAGAGACAUACCUAAAACAAUUGAACCAUAAAGGUUGAAAAUGAGAAGGAUGGACAGAGGUGUGCCCCGGCAAGUGCAAACCAAAAGCAAGCAUUACCAGUUUACCUUCGAAGAAGAAGAAAUUCAGUCCACAAAAAAAAAAAAAAAA